CGUUCGGCCAGAACAGGGUCCUCUACCCACGACGCUACUUUGGUCUCACCUCCUCUUUCUAUCUCUAGAUGAUACACUGCAUUUCCCCAACCAAAUUUUCUCCGUUUUCAGUUUACUCAUUUUCAUUGUCCGCAACAGGAUCAACACUUUCUCUAUUUUGGGCUUCAUUGUGGAAAUUACCUCACUCUACACGACACAGAAUCCACAAUCCCCAUACCUGCAAAGACUCACGCAGGUCGCUUCACCAUAUUCUCAGGCCAAGCAGAAUCCACACAGUAUCUCGCUAGCGCCGCUGCUCGCUUAGCUCCUCUCACUCUUAUCACAAGCAGGGUCUCAUAUUAAUCUAACGUUGCAGCACCUUCCAUCCCUACAGUCCCAUUUCGGCCAACUGAUUCCUCCCUUCUCUCGUUUGAAAUUCAGAAUAACGUG
rnacentral:misc_RNA from 1 species